rnacentral:misc_RNA from 1 species
GACUCGGAGUGGGGAUAUGUCGAAUUACUGCUCUACGGAACAGAAUAAGUGCUGAUAUCAGUAUUCGCGAUCGACGGUCAUUGGAGAGGUCGAAUAGGAUAAGUAUAUCUAAGAAGAAAUAUAACGCAGUCGUUAGUUAGACACAGGAGCCAUGAAUAUCAACUUCGAAGGAAAACGUAUUCUCGUCACAGGUGCCGGUCGAGGCAUUGGCAGAGACUUGGCCCUUCGGCUCUCCGAAUACAAAGGCGAAGUAAUAGCGUUGUCGAGAACGAAAAAGAACCUGGAUAAAUUAUGCGCGGAAGAUCCUCGUAUUAGGAGCGUUUGCGUAGAUUUACGCGAUUGGGAUGCCACGAAGAAGGCUGUCGAAAGCGUGUUACCCAUCGAUCUGUUGGUGAACAAUGCAGGCGUCGCGCAUUUGAAGCCCUUCCUGGACGCCACGGCGGAAGACUUUGACGAGACUUUCGCCGUGAACGUGAAAUCCAUCUUGAACGUUUCUCAAGUGGUCGCGAGAAACAUGAUCGAGAGGAAGGUUGCCGGCAGUAUCGUCAAUAUAUCUUCGCAGGCUUCGCAGGCAGCUUUGAAGGAUCACGCUGUGUAUUGCUCCUCCAAAGGAGCUGUCGAUAUGUUGUCCAAAACAAUGGCUCUCGAACUUGGUCCGCACAAUAUUCGAGUAAACACGGUGAAUCCUACGGUGAUUAUGACAGAAAUGGGAAAACUAGGCUGGAGCGAUCCGGAUAAAGCGCGAACCAUGUUAAGUAAAAUACCGCUUGGUCGGUUUGGCGAAGUACACGAGGUCGUCGAUGCAGUUACGUAUCUGUUGAGCGACCGGAGUUCGAUGAUAAACGGUGUUACGUUACCGGUAGACGGUGGAUUUUUAGCAAUGUAAAUCGUAAAACGAAGGACAAUAUGACGACGGAUCAAUCGGAUAUACAAGAUACCAUGGUAUAAAGAAAAACGACGAUCUUACACGAAGAAACAUGUAUACGCGUAUAAAGAAUGAAAGAUAACGAAAGGAAUCGUAAACGUACGUUAAAUCUAGAUUCGGGAUAAGUGAAAGAGAAAUGCGAACACAAUUACUCGUUUAUCUCGUUUAAUUUAAAAAACGCUUCGUUUCCUCUUCCUUUUUUUCUUUUUUCAAAAGUUUUUCUUAUCAUUUAACUAGAAUUCGGCGAGCAAACGGCAGGAAACAUCGUGAAACGACGUAACGCUCCUGAAAAAAGUAACAUAUUCGUCUCUUUUCUAAUCUUUUUUCUCUAAAAUAUUCGACCGAGACACGCGUAUUUUCGUUUCACGAUUCGCUCACCGUUGUUCGUUUCGGUCUAAAAACAAACUUGUUCGUUUCAGCUCCUAUAAUCGAUAAUUACAUUAUCUCUACGAUGAACAUAAAGUGGCGGAGAAAAACGCGAAAUCAGGCUGCCUUUCGAGACAUUGAUCGUCGAACAGGCGUUUCUUUAUUUCUUCUAUCUCGCGUUUCACUCGAUUCGCAUUCGAAUCUCUCGGAAUCGAUCGGCUGCGAGCGAAGCAUUCUUUUUUCUUAUUAAAUUAAUCCUUUACAGCAGCGAUUCUUAAUAUCGUUUCGCAAAAUACGAUUAGCAAACGAUAAAGCAUACGAAAGAUAAUGGAAAAGAAAGGAAAAGAAAAUAAAAAGAAUAGAACGUAAAUCGAAUCGAUCCUGAUUGCGCUAGUUUUCUUGCUCCUCCGCUAGAGAGGUUUCGUCGUGUCUCGUCUUCUGUUUAUCAAAAAUUAAU